CCUACGGGGGGCAGCAGUGAGGAAUAUUGGUCAAUGGACGAGAGUCUGAACCAGCCAAGUAGCGUGAAGGAUGACUGCCCUAUGGGUUGUAAACUUCUUUUAUAUGGGAAUAAAAUGUUCCACGUGUGGGAUUUUGUAUGUACCAUAUGAAUAAGGAUCGGCUAACUCCGUGCCAGCAGCCGCGGUAAUACGGAGGAUCCGAGCGUUAUCCGGAUUUAUUGGGUUUAAAGGGAGCGUAGGUGGAUUGUUAAGUCAGUUGUGAAAGUUUGCGGCUCAACCGUAAAAUUGCAGUUGAAACUGGCAGUCUGGAGUACAGUAGAGGUGGGCGGAAGUCGUGGUGUAGCGGUGAAAUGCUUAGAUAGCACGAAGAACUCCGAUUGCGAAGGCAGCUCACUGGACUGCAACUGACACUGAGGCUCGAAAGUGUGGGUAUCAAACAGGAUUAGAUACCCCGGUAGUC
rnacentral:rRNA from 1 species